CAGCAGCCGCGGUAAUACAGAGGGUGCGAGCGUUAAUCGGAUUUACUGGGCGUAAAGCGUGCGUAGGCGGCUUCUUAAGUCGGAUGUGAAAUCCCUGAGCUUAACUUAGGAAUUGCAUUCGAUACUGGGAAGCUAGAGUAUGGGAGAGGAUGGUAGAAUUCCAGGUGUAGCGGUGAAAUGCGUAGAGAUCUGGAGGAAUACCGAUGGCGAAGGCAGCCAUCUGGCCUAAUACUGACGAUGAGGUACGAAAGCAUGGGGAGCAAACAGGAUUAGAUACCCGCGUAGUCCCUGUCUCUUAUAC
rnacentral:rRNA from 1 species